UACGUAGGGGGCUAGCGUUGUCCGGAAUCAUUGGGCGUAAAGCGCGUGUAGGCGGCCCGGUAAGUCCGCUGUGAAAGUCGGGGGCUCAACCCUCGGAAGCCGGUGGAUACUGUCGGGCUCGAGUACGGAAGAGGCGAGUGGAAUUCCUGGUGUAGCGGUGAAAUGCGCAGAUAUCAGGAGGAACACCAAUUGCGAAGGCAGCCUCCUGGGCCAGCACUGACGCUCAUGCACGAAAGCGUGGGGAGCAAACAGG
rnacentral:rRNA from 1 species